UACGGAGGGUGCAAGCGUUAUCCGGAUUCACUGGGUUUAAAGGGUGCGUAGGUGGGCAAGUAAGUCAGUGGUGAAAUCUCCGGGCUUAACUCGGAAACUGCCAUUGAUACUAUUUGUCUUGAAUACUGUGGAGGUCAGCGGAAUAUGUCAUGUAGCGGUGAAAUGCUUAGAUAUGACAUAGAACACCAAUUGCGAAGGCAGCUUACUACACAGUCAUUGACACUGAGGCACGAAAGCGUGGGGAUCAAACAGG
rnacentral:rRNA from 1 species